AACGAACGCUGGCGGCGCGUUUUAAGCAUGCAAGUCGAACGGGAUAAAGGUGCUUGCACCUUUUGAGAGUGGCGAACGGGUGAGUAACACGUAAGUGAUCUGCCCUGGGGAUGGGGAUAGCUCAUGGAAACAUGGGAUAAGACCGAAUACCGUAACACUAUUUGAAGGUUAUGUUACGAAAAGAGCUACGGCUCUGCCCUGGGAUGAGCUUGCGGCCCAUUAGCUAGUUGGUGAGGUAAAGGCUCACCAAGGCGACGAUGGGUAGCCGGCCUGAGAGGGUGAACGGCCACAUUGGGACUGAGACACGGCCCAGACUCCUACGGGAGGCAGCAGCUAAGAAUCUUCCGCAAUGGGCGAAAGCCUGACGGAGCGACGCCGCGUGAACGAAGAAGGCAGAGAUGUUGUAAAGUUCUUUUCCUGUUGAAGAA
rnacentral:rRNA from 1 species